UAAUAAAUCAAAAUGUGCUUAAAAGAUAAGUGCUGUGCCCAGUGCCCAGUGCCCAUAACCCACAGGCCCGGUGUUUUUUUUCCUCUGUGGGUUAUGGGCACUGGGCACAGCACUUAUUUUUUAAGCACAUUUUGAUUUAUU